rnacentral:misc_RNA from 1 species
AGUUAUUAAAGGCUCAAGACGCACCAAGGCGCAAAAGUGUCUUAGGGCCCAGGCGCAAGGCACAGGUGCGCACUCGAGCGAGACAAGGAGCAAAAAUAAAAAAGAGAAGAAAAUUAAUAAUUUAGCAAGUAGUAAUAAGCCAACAAUAACAUAUAUAUCAAUUUAUAAUACCAUAAUCUAAUUAUAAUAAUAGAAAUUAAUAA